ACGGGGUAGCAAUACCUAGUGGCAGACGGGUGAGUAACAUGUGGGUGGCUUCCCUUUGGUGAGGAAUAACACGAGGAAACUGUGCUAAUACCUCAUAAGUCUUUACGGAGAAAGCUUUAUGCGCCAAUGGAUGAGCCCGCACUUGAUUAGUUAGUUGGUAGGGUAAAAGCCUACCAAGACUUUGAUCAAUAGCUGAUUUGAGAGGAUGAUCAGCCACAUUGGGACUGAGACACGGCCCAAACUCCUACGGGAGGCAGCAGUAGGGAAUCUUGCACAAUGGAGGAAACUCUGAUGCAGCGAUGCCGCGUGAGUGAAGAAGGCCCUUGGGUUGUAAAGCUCUUUCGUCGGGGAAGAAAAUGACUGUACCCGAAUAAGAAGGUCCGGCUAACUUCGUGCCAGCAGCCGCGGUAAUACGAAGGGACCUAGCGUAGUUCGGAAUUACUGGGCUUAAAGAGUUCGUAGGUGGUUAAAAAAGUUGGUGGUGAAAUCCCAGAGCUUAACUCUGGAACUGCCAUCAAAACUUUUUAGCUAGAGUAUGAUAGAGGAAAGCAGAAUUUCUAGUGUAGAGGUGAAAUUCGUAGAUAUUAGAAAGAAUACCGAUUGCGAAUGCAGCUUUCUGGAUCAUUACUGACGCUGAGGAA
rnacentral:rRNA from 1 species